GUAGUCUCGCACAGAUGCAUAUCAAUAAGCGGAGGAAAAGAAACUAACAAGGAUUCCCCUAGUAACGGCGAGUGAAGCGGGAAGAGCUCAAAUUUGAAAUCUUAAAGGGUUUCCCUUUACGAAUUGUAGUUUAAAGAAGUGUUUUCUGUUGAGGUUUUGGUAAAAGUUCUUUGGAAUAGGACAUCAUAGAGGGUGAGAAUCCCGUAUUUGACCUUUACUUUCAACUUUGUGAUACACUUUCAAAGAGUCGGAUUGUUUGGGAAUGCAGUCCAAAAUGGGUGGUAAAUUUCAUCUAAAGCUAAAUAUUGGCGAGAGACCGAUAGCGAACAAGUACCGUGAGGGAAAGAUGAAAAGAACUUUGAAAAGAGAGUUAAACAGUACGUGAAAUUGUCAAAAGGGAAGCGUUGACACCAGUGUUGUUUUUCUGAAAAUCAAUUAAAGAACUGUUUAUGCUAAGCUGUUUAGACUUUAUCAGCUAAUCUGUUUAGUUUUGAGCUUUUCUUUAAUGCACUUUUCAGUUAACAAGUCAACAUCAAUUUCUUUUGCUGUAAAAAAGCUUGAGGAAGGUGGCUUGAGAUUCGUCUUAAGUGUUUAUAGCCUCUUGCCUAUGCAGUCGGAGAGAUUGAGGUCUGCAGCGUAGAUCCUUCGGGGCUAAAUGCAUUUGUGCUAAGUUAUAGCAUUUUAUAGACAACUUGUUGACUAUGAUUUGUCUUGUAGCUUACUCGCUUAUGUUAUUUUACCUACGCUUAGGAUGUUGAUAUCGCGCUCUCACUG
rnacentral:rRNA from 1 species